GGAACUUAUCCAGGUCAGCUGACCACACCGGGCAUGCAAUAGCUGUACGAUCUUGGAGUGAGGUUACGAAAGAAAUACAUACAGGAAGAGCCCUUCCUCACACCUUCUUUCAGUCCUAAAGAAGUUUACAUUCGCUCUACCAACAUUGUCCACACCAUUGAGUCGGCUAAGUGUUUGGUGGCAGGACAGUUCCAACAGGAACAAGCAGGUGUUGUGUCCAUCCUCACCGAUAAGGCAGAGAACGAAAUCCUCUAUCCCAACUAUAACAGAUGCAAGCUGCUCAAGCAGCUCAUUGGGUAAAACCUGCUUUGAUGAAAAACUUGCUACUUUGAUAAUAAUGAUGAUAACAAACAUUUUAUAGAGAACCAUUCAUACAGAAAUGUAGUUCACAAUGGAAAGUUAGUUGGAAAAUAGUAGUAGUAGUAGUUAAAAAAAAUAUUCAAAUUUAAGAAGGAGAUUUAUCAACUCGUAAAUGUUCCUAAAUAUUUAAUCAUUUUUCUUUUUGUAUUUUUUUGUCUUUUUUUUUAAUUGAGGU